AAUAGAUACCCUGGUAGUCCACGCCGUAAACGAUGAGUGCUAAGUGUUAGAGGGCUUCCACCCUUUAGUGCUGCAGCUAACGCAUUAAGCACUCCGCCUGGGGAGUACGGCCGCAAGGCUGAAACUCAAAGGAAUUGACGGGGGCCCGCACAAGCGGUGGAGCAUGUGGUUUAAUUCGAAGCAACGCGAAGAACCUUACCAGGUCUUGACAUCCUUCGCUACCUCUAGAGAUAGAGGGUUCCCCUUCGGGGGACGGAGUGACAGGUGGUGCAUGGUUGUCGUCAGCUCGUGUCGUGAGAUGUUGGGUUAAGUCCCGCAACGAGCGCAACCCUUGACCUUAGUUGCCAGCAUUCAGUUGGGCACUCUAAGGUGACUGCCGGUGACAAACCGGAGGAAGGUGGGGAUGACGUCAAAUCAUCAUGCCCCUUAUGACCUGGGCUACACACGUGCUACAAUGGAUGGUACAAAGGGUCGCGAAACCGCGAGGUGGAGCUAAUCCCAAAAACCAUUCUCAGUUCGGAUUGCAGG
rnacentral:rRNA from 1 species